UACGUAGGGGGCAAGCGUUGUCCGGAAUCAUUGGGCGUAAAGCGCGCGUAGGCGGCCCGAUAAGUCUGCUGUGAAAGUCCAGGGCUCAACCCUGGAAUGCCGGUGGAUACUGUCGGGCUAGAGUUCGGAAGAGGCAAGUGGAAUUCCUGGUGGAGCGGUGAAAUGCGCAGAUAUCAGGAGGAACACCCGUAGCGAAGGCGGCACUCUGGGCCGAUACUGACACUGAGGAGCGAAAGCGUGGGGAGCGAACAGG
rnacentral:rRNA from 1 species